rnacentral:rRNA from 1 species
GAUGAACGCUGGCGGCGUGCCUAAUACAUGCAAGUCGAGCGAACAGACGAAGAGCUUGCUCCUCUGACGUUAGCGGCGCACGUGUGAGUAACACGUGUAUAACCUACCUAUAAUACUGAUAUAACUUCGAGAAACCGGAGCUAAUACCGGAUAAUCUAUUGAACCGCAGGGGUCAUUAGUGAAAAACGGCUGUGCUGUCUCUUAUCGCUGGUUCCGCGCCGCAUUAGCUAGUUGGUAAGGUAACGGGUUACCAAGGCAAAGAGGCGUAGCCCACCUGAGAGGGUGGUAGGCCACACUGGAACUGAGCCACGGUCCAGACUCCUACGGGAGGCAGCAGUAGGGAAUCGUCGGCAAUGGGCGAAAACUUGACGGAGCAACGCGGCGUGAGUGAUGAAGGUCUUCGGAUCGUAAAACUCUGUUAUUAGGGAUGAACAAAUGUGUAAGUAACUAUGCACGUCUUGACGGUAACUAAUCAGAAAGCAACGGCUAACUACGUG